UCUCUUUUUGUUAAAGUGCCCCUCUUAUUCUGCUCCAUCACCAUCUACUUCCUCUUCUUUUUCCUCUGCUACGGCACAACACAACAUCCCAAAUUUCGUGCUCCUUCCUCUUCUCCCUUUGAACCUCUCUCCCUUGCCGAUUCAAGCUCUCCUUCGCCUACUUUCCUCUCCAAAAAUCGUCAGCAACAAUGGAGGGACGAAUGUUUUGGUUGGUUUCGUUACUCUUUUCUCUCUUUUUAGUUUUUUUGUGUGGAGAGGAGAAGACAACACCCUUUUCUCUCUUUCUCUCUCUAUCUCUCUCUAAAAAAACUACUUACACAACCCAUUCUCUUCACCCAUCCACCCAUUUCCUUCACCCAUCUACCCUUCGCGAUUAUGGCGGUGUUUUCGGAUGUAGUGACGGGAUCUAUGCUGUUGAAUACGUAUACAAGGAUUUUAGGUAAGGUGAAGAUUUUGGGAAUUUAUAUUUUUGUUUAGUAUUCUGAUGGAAUUUAUCGAACGUAUACUAAGUGUUUGCUUUAAGUAGCGAAUGAAGAACUAGGUUUAAGGCCUUCGUUGUCGUUGGCAACGGUAAUGGCCAUGUCGGAUUGAGAGUUAAGUGUAGUUGUCAGUGAUCCCUGUUAGGAGGGGUUAUUGGGGUAAUAAGUUCCAAUAUCAAAGGUAACCAGCAUAAAGAGAUUGUCCAUAAAGGUUUGGGAUAAACUAUCCUCCAAGGUAUAUGCUUCAAUUAUUCUUUAUAGAAUUCUAUUGAUUGGUAUAUUUCUACUUGGUCUUAAUUAGGAUUUCAUCCUUGUGCGCUACUUUGUACUUAAAUUGUUCUCGACGUUCUUUUGAGCUCUAAAUUCAUAUUUUUCCUAUGACUGACUAUUGUUUUUGCAUUCUUGAAAUUUAGCAUGGUAGGGGCCCGAAACUGACAAAUGAAGAUAUUUGUAUGGAAUACCUUAUCACUGGUGCUUGAAAUGUUGUUUGUGCUUACAGCUACAGGGACCGGAGAAUAUCAAUGAAAGAAAUUGCAUUAAGUGCACUUUCGGAAAUUAUCCAAAUGGAACAUAUGUUGUUUCUAUGACAUGUGGCUAUAUUGGUGAGGAUCCCCGUGGAAUCCCAAACAACCUCAUGCCCUUUGUACAGCAAGUUGCUGUCAGCAAGCGUCCUGCCUUGACAGUCUUUGGAACUGACUAUUCAACAAAAGAUGGAACUGGAGUAAGUUUAUCGUACGUGAUUAUAUUCACGUUGUUGAUUUAGCUUAUGGACACAUUGCUGCAUUGCGCAAGCUAGAUGCGGCUGGUAUAGGUUGUGAAGUUUACAAUUUGGGAACUGGAAAGGGUACAUAAGUCUUGGAGAUGGUUGCAGGUUUUGAAAAGGCAUCUGAAAAGAAAAUUCCUUUUGUGAUGUCUGCACGCCGACCUGGUGAUGUUGAAAUUGUCUACGCAUCGACACACAAAGCAGAAAAGGAGUUAAACUGAAAGUUUUGCAAGAAUCCAUUGGAGCAGUGAAGCCAUAUUUGCGGCAAUUCAUUGAUGUAUAGGCCUUUUUGUAGGUUUGGUAGCAAAGUUUUGGUUCAAAUGUACUUAUUUAAAUAGCUCGUUUGUACCAAAACAUAUAUGUUCAUUGCUUCAUUGUACAAACAUUUUACCAACAAUUGUACAAUAUUAGAAAGUGUAUGUUAAAGUAAAUAUAUUAAAGCAUUCACCAUUUUUUUCCA